GCCCGGGUGGCUUGGUUGGUUAAGCGUCUGACUUUGGCUCAGGUCAUGAUCUCGCGGUCCGUGAGUUCGAGCCCCGCGUCGGGCU
rnacentral:tRNA from 1 species